CGAUCCUACGGGACGCAGCAGUGGGGGAUAUUGCACAAUGGAGGAAACUCUGAUGCAGCGACGCCGCGUGAGGGAAGACGGUCUUCGGAUUGUAAACCUCUGUCUUUGGGGAAGAAAAUGACGGUACCUAAAGAGGAAGCUCCGGCUAACUACGUGCCAGCAGCCGCGGUAAUACGUAGGGAGCGAGCGUUGUCCGGAAUUACUGGGUGUAAAGGGAGCGUAGGCGGGAGAGCAAGUCGACUGUGAAAUCUAUUGGCUUAAACCAUAGCUGCGAUCGAAACUGGUCAUCUU
rnacentral:rRNA from 1 species